UUUGUUUCUUUUUUUUCCUUUCAGUUGUGUAGGCUUAUUGUUUGUCCUGCUCGGUUGUUGUCCCUCAGCUGUGUUACCGCCUCACACACACACACAGAGACAGACACACACAGGGACAGACACACACACACACAGGGACAGACACACUCUCCCUGACAGACUCGCUCCACGGCUCUUCAGCGCUCUCCCCUCACGCGGCGCUAUUUUGACAGUCGGGGUCGCAGUGAACCGAGCCAAGCUAGCACGUUAGCAUCGAUAGACCUUGACGGGAUCUUUUCCACCCGGACACCGAGACCCACGGCCGGCGACACGGGCUCCUGACGGGAGGACAGACCAUGCUGCUGCACUGAGCCGGAGGGAGAGGAAAGAGAGAGCCCUUAGAGGACCGCUGACGUGGUGGCUGGCCAGUUUUUGUGCCCCUCCUCCUUAUCUGACGGCUGUCUUUUCAGUUCACCCUAUUGGUCUCCACCCCGAGGGCUCAGGCUUGCUAUGGACGUUGCUUUGCCCCCUGCUGCAGCCCUGACCAGUGCCCUACCUUAGUGGGUUCCCCUCUUCUUCCUGUGUGUGGUUCCCAUCCAGACUCACUGUACAGAGUCCAGCACAGAUCUGGUACCACCUACAGCCACUCCUGGGUCCUCCACCCAACCCCCUCCCCU